rnacentral:rRNA from 1 species
CCUACGGGAGGCAGCAGUGAGGAAUAUUGGUCAAUGGGCGAGAGCCUGAACCAGCCAAGUCGCGUGAGGGAAGACGGUCCUAUGGAUUGUAAACCUCUUUUGCCGGGGAGCAAAAAGCGGUACGUGUACCGCAUCGAGAGUAUCCGGAGAAAAAGCAUCGGCUAACUCCGUGCCAGCAGCCGCGGUAAUACGGCGGAUGCGAGCGUUAUCCGGAUUUAUUGGGGUUAAAGGGUGCGCAGGAGGAGAGUUAAGUCAGCGGUAAACUUUCGGGGCUCACACCCGCAAAGCCGUUGAAACUGACUUGCUAGAGUGGGCGAGAAGGAUGCGGAAUGCGUGGUGUAGCGGUGAAAUGCAUAGAUAUCACGCAGAACGCCGAUUGCGAAGGCAGCAUACCGGCGCCCGACUGACGCUGAGGCACGAAAGCGUGGGGAUCGAACAGGAUUAGAUACCCUGGUAGUC